rnacentral:rRNA from 1 species
CGACCUCCCCCCUCCCCCUUAGUUUCGUUUUAAGCAUUCUGGCUCCGGCAACCGGGUUUUGUGGCUGUUGUCCAGGCUCAUUGGGUCUCGGCUUUAGGCGAGCCCCAUAGGCAGAUGUCAGUCCUGGACGAAUGGCGUCAUCUGUCCAAGCGGUCCAGGCAGUUCAUGAGAGGAUGGGGUGCUAACAUUGGGAGGGACCUUCGGGUCCAAAAGGCCUCCCUCCUUGAGGAGAUCCGAGCCCUUGACCUUCGCACAGAUAUUUCAGGGAUCUCCGCUGAAGAGUGGGCUCAUAGGUAUAAUCUGGAAGACUCUCUCAUGGAGCUCUAUUCCAAGGAGGAGGAGUUUUGGCGCGAGCGGGGGUCUUUUAAUUGGGUGCUAUUUGGCGAUGCCAACACGACCUACUUCCAGGCCAUCGCUAAUGGCCAUCGGAGACGCUACUCCAUUCCCCUCUUAUGGGAGGGAGGUCAGCUCUUUCAGGACCCCCCAGCUAUUCGCUCGCUCGUGGAUGACUUCUACAAGUCAUUAUUUGCGGGGCGCCCUAGGGGUGGGAACACCCUUGCUGACCACAUCUGGUCGUCCGAACAACGAAUCCCCCAAGAGGAGAAUGCCCUUCUCGCCCCUUUUGAUGCUUCGGAGGUGGAGACUUUCAUCAAAGCCAUGAAUCCGGCCUCGGCUCCGGGCCCCGAUGGCCUACCGGUUCGUUUUUUCCAGGCUUUCUGACCGAUGGUCAAGGAGAUUAACCUUGACCUGUUCCGUGAGUUCUCUAGGGGAACAUUAGACUUGUCCCGGCUUAACUACGGGAUCAUCUCCCUGAUCCCCAAGGUGCCGGGAGCUACUGACAUUAGGCAGUUCUGCCCUAUCACAGUUCUUUAUGUCAUAUUUCAGAUUCUGGCCAAGGGGUGCGCCACUAGGGUGGCCCUGAUUGCCCCCGGAUUCACCACCCGAACCAGUCGGCCUUCACCAAAGGCAGGUAUAUUCUGGAUGGGAUCCUCGUUCUCCACGAGGUCAUCCAUGAGGUCAAGAGCAAGCAUCUUCACGCGGUGCUCUUCAAAAUUGACUUUCAUAAAGCAUAUGGCACAGUCCACUAGUCCUUCCUUCGGGAAGUAUUGCUCAAGCGUGGGUUCGACUCCCACUGGGUAG